CAGGGAUAAGCCCAGCACCGAAGCCUGUGGCCGUUUGGCCCCUAGGCAAUGUGGUGUUCAGGUCAGCUCGCGGGGAUACUGCUCCACCCUAAGUCCUAUAAUGAGUAAGGUUACUCGGACGUGGCCCACAGAGGGUGAAAGGCCCGUGGGGGUGGAGACUCAGUUCGGCCAGUAUCUUCCUGAGCAGACCUUGGAGUCGGGUUGUUUGUGAAUGCAGCCCAAAGUGGGUGGUAAACUCCAUCCAAGGCUAAAUACUUGCACGAGUCCGAUAGCGAACAAGUACCGUGAGGGAAAGUUGAAAAGUACUUUGAAGAGAGAGUAAACAGUGCGUGAAACCGCUCAGAGGUAAACGGGUGGAGUUGAACUGCAAGCUCCGAGGAUUCAGCUGGUGAGAUUGGCAUGAGCUUGGUCAUGUGGGUUGUGUGUUCGGGUCUGCUUAGCUGCAGGUCCUCGCCUUUGGUGGGGAUGCGCGUAUCGCUUAUCAAGCGUUGUGCGCCCGGGCUUCUCGAGCCUUCUCGCUAGUGCACUUUCUCGGGGUGUUCACCACGACCGGCGUUGCUGUCUGGCUGGUGCGGUUAAACCGGUCUUGUAGGGUCCUUGUGGCCUUGCUUGGUCGGGAUGGCAGGUAGCCCGUUGUGUACUUCGGUGUGCUUCGGGUGUAAUAGCCGACUGCAUCGGUUCUGUGCGGUACGUCGGAGACGGCGGCUUGUUGUGCGUGCGGGCGUGCCUGUUGCGCUGGCGGCUCUGAGUCUGGUUGCCUUGUUGCUUGUAAAUGCAGGCCUAGUGAUGGC
rnacentral:rRNA from 1 species